UACGGAGGAUGCGAGCGUUAUCCGGAUUUAUUGGGUUUAAAGGGUGCGCAGGCGGUCUGUUAAGUCAGCGGUCAAAGCCCGGGGCUCAACCCCGGCCCGCCGUUGAAACUGGCAGUCUCGAGUUGGAGAGAAGUAUGCGGAAUGCGCGGUGUAGCGGUGAAAUGCAUAGAUAUCGCGCAGAACUCCGAUUGCGAAGGCAGCAUGCCGGCUCCACACUGACGCUGAGGCACGAAAGCGUGGGUAUCGAA
rnacentral:rRNA from 1 species